rnacentral:tRNA from 1 species
GCAGUGGCGGUUCAGUGGUAGAAUUCCUGCCUUCCAUGUAGGAGACCUGGGUUCAAUUCCAACCAAUGCA